rnacentral:rRNA from 1 species
UACGGGGGGGGCAAGCGUUGUUCGGAAUUACUGGGCGUAAAGGGCUCGUAGGUGGUCAACUAAGUCGGACGUGAAAUCCCUCGGCUUAACCGGGGAACUGCGUCCGAUACUGGAUGACUUGAGUUCGGGAGAGGGAUGCGGAAUUCCAGGUGUAGCGGUGAAAUGCGUAGAUAUCAGGAGGAACACCGAUGGCGAAGGCAGGUCACUGGGCCGCAACUGACGCUGAGGAGCGAAAGCAUGGGGAGCGAACAGG